GACCGUCGAUCGUUACAGGUAGAUGAGGAGGAGAUCGAGAUUCCAAUGAUCUAGCCAAGUUAUCCGAGGAUGGUCCAAAAGCGGAUGGUUCCGUGCAAGAAACCGAGGGGAAGCAUGGUCACCUCGGAUUAAUUCUUUAUCGAUUGGUCGCGGCGCGAGAGAAGAAGAAGAGAUACGGGCAAAAAGGGUGUUCUCCCCGUUUGCGGAUGCAAACGAUCGGAUGGAGGAAGAAAUCGAUGCUUUUUUGCCACGAAGAAUCGUAUUUCGUACCUCGUCAUGCCGAGAUAAUUCAAAAGAAAAGCUAAACAACGAUCCUCUGCAUCCAUCUGCAUUUAUUCAUUGGAUCCAACGUGGACGGUUCCACGGAUCGGAUCGUAAGCGAUGGAUCGAAUCGAAGAAUGUCGUCUGGUAAGAAGAUGGACGAGAAGGAGGAGAAGGAAAAGGAGGAGGAGGAGGGGGAGGAGGAACGCGGAAAAUAAGUGGGAGCGAGGAAACAAAUCGUAAUGACCGAGGGGUGUUGUACAGUUAGAAGGAGGAAAUCUUCCCACGACUCGUGAAAGAGGCACUCCUAGUUCCAUCUAAUUUCCGAUCGGUAUGGAUUCAAAGAUUCGACGGCCAUUUUGGGAGGACGUGAUACCCGGAGAACACGUCAUUGCGACAUUCGAUUUGGGAUGCAGGAUUCGAUCGAAGG